rnacentral:lncRNA from 1 species
UUUGAUCAAAUGAAGAGAACAUUUUUAUUAUAGACACUCGGUAUCAGAUCCAACCACUCAUCUUCUACAACUCAUCUUCUCAUCUCCCUCUUUCACCCAUUUUCACUAAACUGCUAAACAACCCAAAAAUAAAAUUGACAUUAUCAUUAAUAUCUCCAAAUAUUACCCAAAACAAGUACAUAACUCAUACUAAUAUUAAAACUAUAGAUUAGAAUUACAAAACAAAAACUGAAAGCGAAGAUUAAAGUGGGUCAGAAAAUGGUGAAUUCCAAAUGUGUCGCCGGCGAGAUUUCGGAGAGAAUUUUUCUGACAAUCACAGCCAACGAAGGCUCCUGUGGUCACCUCCGCGGUUAGUUCUACAAGAAAAUCGAAUGGAUCUAAGUUGCAAGGGACUGAACAAAGCCGCCAGAAAAAGGUCGCUGGAAAUGGAGGUACCGGCCAUGGAUGGUAAACAUUCUUGUGCUGAUUAGUCAUUGAAAAAUCCACUCUUAGUUAAAAUGUUUCAUUUUUAUACAGGAUUCUAUAAUUCAUCGUUGUUGAUUUAUUGUCGAACAGUUCAUGCUAAAAUUAGAAGAAUGUUAGCUUGAGUUUGAUUAGUGAAGAUUUUGAAGUUUGCUGGUGGUGGUAGAGAAGGAGAGAGAAAGACCAAUGAGGUGGUGGAAGCAAGCAAGAAGAUGGUGGAUGGUUAGAUAUAGUGUUGAGAGUCUAUGAUAAGAAUGUGGUCACUACUUAAUCUAAUGGUCAAGCUUAACUUUCUCAUGGUAGGAAAGAAUUCCUCCUACCCACCCUAAAUGCCACCAAUAAAAUAGACAUACAUCGAAUUAAUUGUGAAAUAAACGUUAUUUCAAAGUAAUACCUCAGGGUCAUGUUGCAUUAUAACCAAACAAACCAUAGGUUAUAAAAUCCAGGGGUCAGUUAAAACAUCCAAAGGAAAUUGUUCCAUUGCAUCAACAUCUAAUGGCUUGUAAGUCCUAGCCAUCUGAUGUUGAUGCACUAUUUGAGUCGUAGACAACAUCUAACAACACAAACUUUGAGUCCCUGAGUAUGUUUUCACACCUAGUUAUUUUUAAUGACUAGGUUUGGUCACGACGAACACCUCGUGUAUGGACUGUGAGUCCUAGCCCUCUGAGACCUCCACACAAAUCACAUAGCUCCAAGACUGGGGGAAUCACCCUUCAUGACUUCUAUUGUCUCAUCGUUUGUAACAUAUCAACAUCUAUGUCAUGAUGCAAAUGUCACAAUGUGUCAAUGCUCACAGUUAUGCACAAAUACAUGUUCACAGUCGCAUCUACCUAGUUCCCCAUGUCAUGGGACUAAUUGCAAUCAUCAUCUCAACGAUUAUAACAUAUUGUUAUUGUUAUCAACAACAUCAUUUGAGCAUUAAUGGCUCUACAUUUAGCAAAGAUCAAUGGGAUAAUGCAGAACAUGAAUGUUCUAAUGGAAGGCUCUACAUAUAGCAAAGAUCAUUAAAAUGCACGGUACCUCAAAAUGAUCUCAUAUAAAACAGCAUCGUUGUCUUACAAGAGUGUGCCAAUUCAUCAAUCAUAUUAUGUUAUCAAUGUGAGAAUCUUGUUGGUUGGUAGUCUUUUUUGAACUCUGAUGUCUUUCUUGACUCUAACAAGUUACUAAAAUUUAACUCGCCUAAUUUCUUUUAUAUGAGCU